rnacentral:piRNA from 1 species
UGGGCUAGCUCUGUGUGCACAUAACCUCACC